GGCUGCAGGGGGGCAACGGCCCGGGGCCAGUUCGCUUUCAGUAUGGACAGAGGCACGGAGGGAGGCAGCGCCCUGACGGACCCCGGGUCAGGGAGCAGUAGGCGGGAGUACUCCCUUCCCCAGCCUGCCUCAAGGAAGUAGGAGCACGUGCAGUUCAGGAAUCAGUUCUGGAACCCACUCAGGACUUGUGGCUGCCCCUGAGGUGACACCGCCAGAAAGUCAUCCCUGUGUUGCACUAGGCUUAUGUCGGGCCUCUUGACUCCUGGGGCUCCUAAGGCCUUAAGCAAAUUUAUAGGAAAAGAAAUCAGCGAGUUUGCAUGACCAACUGCCCAACGCUCAUUGUCAUGGUAGGCCUGCCCGCCAGGGGCAAGACCUACAUCUCCAAGAAGCUGACUCGCUACCUGAACUGGAUUGGCGUGCCAACACGCGAAUUCAACGUUGGCCAGUACCGCCGGGACAUGGUCAAGACAUACAAGUCUUUUGAGUUUUUCCUUCCAGACAACGAAGAGGGCCUGAAAAUCAGGAAGCAGUGUGCCCUGGCGGCCCUCCGUGAUGUCCGGCGGUUCCUUAGUGAGGAGGGGGGACAUGUGGCGGUUUUUGAUGCAACGAAUACCACCCGAGAACGGAGAGCGACCAUCUUUAAUUUUGGGGAACAGAAUGGCUACAAGACCUUUUUUGUGGAGUCCAUCUGUGUGGAUCCUGAGGUCAUAGCCGCUAACAUCGUGCAAGUGAAACUCGGCAGCCCCGAUUAUGUGAACCAUGAUAGUGAUAAGGCCACGGAGGAUUUCAUGAGGCGCAUUGAAUGCUAUGAGAAUUCAUAUGAGUCAUUGGAUGAGGACCUGGACAGGGAUCUGUCCUACAUCAAGAUCAUGGACGUGGGUCAGAGCUACGUGGUGAACCGUGUGGCUGACCACAUCCAGAGCCGUAUUGUAUAUUACCUCAUGAACAUCCAUGUGACCCCCCGCUCCAUCUACCUCUGCCGACAUGGGGAGAGUGAGCUCAACCUCAAGGGCCGGAUUGGCGGGGACCCAGGACUGUCCCCUCGGGGCAGGGAGUUUGCCAAGAGUCUGGCCCAGUUCAUCAGUGAUCAGAACAUCAAGGACUUGAAGGUCUGGACGAGCCAGAUGAAGAGGACAAUCCAGACAGCUGAGGCCCUGGGUGUGCCUUAUGAACAGUGGAAGGUCCUCAAUGAGAUUGAUGCGGGCGUCUGUGAGGAAAUGACUUACGAGGAAAUUCAGGAUCAUUAUCCACUGGAGUUUGCCCUGCGGGACCAGGACAAGUACCGGUACCGGUACCCCAAGGGGGAGUCUUACGAGGACCUGGUCCAGCGGCUCGAGCCUGUCAUCAUGGAGCUGGAGAGGCAAGAGAAUGUGCUGGUCAUCUGCCACCAGGCUGUGAUGCGCUGCCUCCUGGCCUACUUCCUGGAUAAGGCCGCAGAACAGCUGCCCUACCUCAAGUGUCCACUGCACACCGUCCUGAAGCUGACCCCUGUGGCUUACGGUUGUAAAGUGGAGUCGAUAUUCCUGAACGUGAUGGCUGUGAAUACGCACCGGGACAGGCCUCAGGUAGCAACGGGGUCACUGCUGUGGGGGCGAGCAUAUUCCUGGGGGUAUCCAGGCACAGCAUCUUCAAGGCCCAGAGCCAACUGGGGUGCCUGCCAGAGUGAGCUGGAGUUCUCUGCCAAAGCUGCUGUCUUAUCACCAGGGCGAGGUCAUGGCUCUGGGCUAGGCCUUCCCGAGGAUGCUGGCCUGGGGGUGGAGAAAUCCCUGGAGCUGGGUCCCCAGGCUAGGCAGUGCCUGAGUCUGGGUGUGGUGGCUUCUUCCCAGCAGCCCUACCAUAGCGGUCUGAGCCAGGGGGUGGGGGAUCCCAGCUGGGAAAGGAGCAAGAGGCCCUACUAGGGGGCAUGUGGGGAUCCUUCCAUGUUCCCCUACAAGCUCAGGCCUCACGAGCAUCUUUUCCAACUUGAGCACACCUUUAACAAUUAAAGUGGUAUUGUGCUUUGUUGCAGAAAGGGCCGUGCAGGUACUGAGAGGGUGUUGGCACUAGACAGAGACUGUCAUGCAGAAGAGCAGUUCACUAUCCUGUGUUCCCCCAGUGCCUUGUUUAAGAUAGAAGCUCCUCAAAGUUUUGCCCAGAACCACUUUCUAUGUCCACGUGAGGUCUCUCUUUCACUGAGGCCAAGGGCCGGAGUCACCCUUCUGGACCUCAUUCACAAGGUCUACUGCAGCAAGAAGGCCUCCGGGGCCUCUGUUGUGCCUGCUGCCACCUACAGUGGAGCAUGGGGGGCUCUGGGUCCCUAUCAAAGGUGCAAGCCUUGGGCUGCUCACCUGCCACUCCUUGACCUUGAACCCCACUGGCAGAGAUAUGUGCAUGUUCUUAAGACUGCUGCCCAUCACUGGGACCAUCUACCGUGUAGGCCACUUCUCUAUUUGUCCUGAGAGUCUGCCCCAGGCCUAGCCUGGCACCCACAGGUCACAGGAGAAGGCAUGUCCUAACAGGCACCCUUUGUGCGGAAGAAAGCCCAGAAGGCACUGGGCCCCAGUACUGACUGACAGGGUGAUGGUUGGUGAUGGUAAGAGAAGCCCCUGGAGCCAGCAGUCAUUGGGGGCUGAUGCCUGCAUCAACGGGACAGGAGCCGGCAUGACCAUGGGAAUGUAGAUAUCUCGAGGCCUCCAGAGGAAGCCCUCGUCACGGUCCCUGCUCACCAGUGACCAUGUCUCAUCCACUGCGACCCCCAGGCAGGUACUGAUCUCUGCAGAUGAGAUCAUUACAGGCCCCUGCUCCAUGUGACAGUUUCUAUGCUGGAUCAUCCUCAACGCCACACCUGGUUGGUGGCACCCAGAGCCCCCGCACCAGCCCACCUGCUUCCUUGUUAAUGGCGACAGGGUUAUACGUGGUGCCUGACCUGCUGCUAAGAAUCAUUUGGCCAGACUGCGUCUGCCCUGGGCUGGCGAGAGGUUUCCUAGCAACCCGGUCCUUCUGUUGCAGCUGUGAGGUGUCCUCUCACCGGUCGGUUGGCUUUGUGAAGUGUGAAACCCUAAACAUGUGAACAGAAAGCACUUGCUGUGACGAUCCCACCACGGCCGAGCUGUCUGAGGUGGACCGGGGGCCCCCUGCAGGGGCUCCGCUGUCUCCUCUGUGGCCACUUCCUGAGCCUGAGGCAAGGUCUUCAUGGCAGCCUGAGCUCCACUGCCUUGGGUGAGAAAGAGCCCUUCCCAUCCUGCCCUGCCAGGACCCGUAGAGCCACCAAGGCAGGUACCUCCACUGGCUAGGCCACUUGUAUGAGCAGCGUGCUCACUUCACCACGACAUGAUGUACAGAACACGCAGGGAACACAGCCUUUGUGGUCACCGCUUCUCAAUUGCGCACACACGAACAUUGGCGAGAGCUGAUGGCCAAGGCCACCCCUGCCCACCUGCUGCACAGUGAAAGCACGUAAAGACAGGGUGGUUGUGUGAGUUCUUCCCAGUGUACACCCAGGUGCUUGAGGGAGGGGCUGCUGUCCCCCUCCCCUCCUGGCCCUGCCUGCUAGGCUACCUCUUGCCUGUUGCCGCCUGUGUCCACACGGGAGUGUACCCCAGUGGCCGAGACAUGCAUUUGCUGUGAACGAUUCAGAGAAAAAAAAGCCUGUCCUGGCAUUCAUUGACCUCUGCCCGUGGGACUGAGCCGGGGAAAGGGCGGACUCCUGAGGCACCCUGUCCAGGGGAGGAUUUGCUCAGCCAUAUCGUAGCUUUUGAUUCACGUGUAUGGGAGCAUGGCAGAAAACGACCUCAGAAGGCUACCAUCUGUCACGCCCCUGAGUUCUUUUGAGCCCAGAGAGGCAGGCUGGGCAGUGGGUUUGGGCUCCAUUUUAUAGCUGAGCAGGAGACCUGUCCAGCAAGUCGCAAGGCUGGGUGAGGAGGUGUCUGGACCUGUAGUCGGACGCCCCACCGUCCACAGGACCCAGGAUCCCAAGCCCACCUUGUACCCGGAACCUUCCUUGGCAGAACAACCCACCUUUCCCAGCCUUCCGGGGCUUUGCAGCCUGCAGGUGCCACCUGUCCCUGAGGGAAAUUCAUGUCCCUGCCCCAGCUGGCGGUCUGUCAGCCUUGGGUGCUGCAGUGGCUGUGGACGGACACGGUGGAGGGCUGGGGCAGGAUCUUCUGGACUUACCUCCUGCCAGAGCCCCAAGCCCUAGACUCAGGACCAGGGGACCAUGCCACUGCCUUUGGGACAUGAGGACCACAGCCUUUGUUUCUGUGUCCCCAGAGUCUUGGGUGACUCGGUCACUUGGACACACUCACUUUUUGGCCAUAGUGGGUCUCUUUUGUUGGUGGCACCUAUGUCUGGAUGUCCCCACUUCGCCAGGACCUCGAACUGGCUGAGGCAUGACCAGCGAGGCCUUUUCUCUGUGCCCAGAGGGCAGUCAGGAGCUGCCGGGCCCAAAGUGUCACAAGGCCUGGGAUAAGGCAGAAGGAAGCCUGGGGGCAUGGUGUGGGUUGGGGCCUUUCCUCUCUGCCUCUGCCCUGGAGUGGUCUCUGCAUGGUCAGCAACCCACUGGGUUGGCCACUGGUUCUAUCCAUGAUGGUGGAUGUGCUUGUGUUGAAGACACUUUCCCGUUCUUUUCAGAAUGGAGGUUGUUGGAUCUCAGCCACACAUUACACUGUGUCUAGCAUUCUUUGCAAUAAAUACUUUUUCUAAAAAAAUUGGGCACCUGACUGGCUCAGUUGGUAGAGUGUGCAGCUGUA